CGGGCGGUGGCGCAGUCCGGUAGCGCACUUGAAUGGGGUUCAAGGGGUCGGAGGUUCAAAUCCUCUCCGCCCGACCA
rnacentral:tRNA from 1 species